GGGGGUGUAGCUCAUCGGUAGAGCGCUCGCUUUGCAUGUGAGAGGCACAGGGUUCGACACCCUGCACUUCCA
rnacentral:tRNA from 1 species